rnacentral:rRNA from 1 species
UGCAAGUCGAACGAUGAAGCUUUUAGCUUGCUAGAAGUGGAUUAGUGGCGCACGGGUGAGUAAGGUAUAGUUAAUCUGCCCUACACAAGAGGACAACAGUUGGAAACGACUGCUAAUACUCUAUACUCCUGCUUAACACAAGUUGAGUAGGGAAAGUUUUUCGGUGUAGGAUGAGACUAUAUAGUAUCAGCUAGUUGGUAAGGUAAUGGCUUACCAAGGCUAUGACGCUUAACUGGUCUGAGAGGAUGAUCAGUCACACUGGAACUGAGACACGGUCCAGACUCCUACGGGAGGCAGCAGUAGGGAAUAUUGCGCAAUGGGGGAAACCCUGACGCAGCAACGCCGCGUGGAGGAUGACACUUUUCGGAGCGUAAACUCCUUUUCUUAGGGAAGAAUUCUGACGGUACCUAAGGAAUAAGCACCGGCUAACUCCGUGCCAGCAGCCGCGGUAAUACGGAGGGUGCAAGCGUUACUCGGAAUCACUGGGCGUAAAGGGCGCGUAGGCGGAUUAUCAAGUCUCUUGUGAAAUCUAAUGGCUUAACCAUUAAACUGCUUGGGAAACUGAUAGUCUAGAGUGAGGGAGAGGCAGAUGGAAUUGGUGGUGUAGGGGUAAAAUCCGUAGAUAUCACCAAGAAUACCCAUUGCGAAGGCGAUCUGCUGGAACUCAACUGACGCUAAGGCGCGAAAGCGUGGGGAGCAAACAGGAUUAGAUACCCUGGUAGUCCACGCCCUAAACGAUGUACACUAGUUGUUGGGAUGCUAGUCAUCUCAGUAAUGCAGCUAACGCAUUAAGUGUACCGCCUGGGGAGUACGGUCGCAAGAUUAAAACUCAAAGGAAUAGACGGGGACCCGCACAAGCGGUGGAGCAUGUGGUUUAAUUCGAAGAUACGCGAAGAACCUUACCUGGGCUUGAUAUCCUAAGAACCUUAUAGAGAUAUGAGGGUGCUAGCUUGCUAGAACUUAGAGACAGGUGCUGCACGGCUGUCGUCAGCUCGUGUCGUGAGAUGUUGGGUUAAGUCCCGCAACGAGCGCAACCCACGUAUUUAGUUGCUAACGGUUCGGCCGAGCACUCUAAAUAGACUGCCUUCGUAAGGAGGAGGAAGGUGUGGACGACGUCAAGUCAUCAUGGCCCUUAUGCCCAGGGCGACACACGUGCUACAAUGGCAUAUACAAUGAGACGCAAUACCGCGAGGUGGAGCAAAUCUAUAAAAUAUGUCCCAGUUCGGAUUGUUCUCUGCAACUCGAGAGCAUGAAGCCGGAAUCGCUAGUAAUCGUAGAUCAGCCAUGCUACGGUGAAUACGUUCCCGGGUCUUGUACUCACCGCCCGUCACACCAUGGGAGUUGAUUUCACUCGAAGCCGGAAUACUAAACUA